rnacentral:rRNA from 1 species
AAUGAACGCUGGCGGCGUGCCUUAUACAUGUAAGUCGUACGAGAAAUCAUUCUUUCGGGAAUGAGAGUAAAGUGGCGCACGGGUGAGUAACGCGUGGGUAACCUGCCCAUAAAUCUGGGAUAACUUUUCGAAAGGAAAGCUAAUACCGGAUAAGACCACGGAAACUUCGGUUUCUGGGGUAAAAGGUGGCCUCUGAUUCAAGCUACUGUUUACGGAUGGGCCCGCGUACUAUUAGCUAGUUGGUGGGGUAACGGCCUACCAAGGCAACGAUAGUUAGCUGGUCUGAGAGGAUGAUCAGCCACACUGGAACUGAGACAUGGUCCAGACUCCUACGGGUGGCAG